rnacentral:misc_RNA from 1 species
UGGCUCUCGCAUCGAUGAAGAACGCAGCGAAAUGCGAUAAGUAAUGUGAAUUGCAGAAUUCAGUGAAUCAUCGAAUCUUUGAACGCACCUUGCACCCCUUGGUAUUCCGAGGGGUAUGCCUGUUCGAGUAUCAUCAAACUAUCAACUUUCUUGCGUGUACGCGCGUGCAAGUUGGAUCAUUGGAGUGUGCAGGCGAACAACCCUUGUUCGCGUGCUCCUCUCGAAAUGCAUCAGUGGAGAGCCCGCACUUUUACUUCUGUGCUGCUUACCUUCUGGCGUGAUAAUUGUCACCGUCGGCUCUGGUCAGCUCGCAGUCUGAGCGAAAAGUGUGUGGUUGGUCUGCUUCGAACCGUUGGCGAUCACUGUCAACAAACGGAUAACAAAGUUUGAUCUCGAAUCAGGUAGGACUACCCGCUGA